CACAAAGACACAGAACAGACACCUGCUGCUCCUCUCUCUUUAUUCUGUGGUCAUAAUUACACAACCUGAACCAAUCACAGACAGACACCACUUUACCCCUCCAUCAGCUGCUGCAGCUGCUGAGAACCUGAAGGAAAACGCAUGUGGAAGGUUUUCUUUUUGCUGUCCUGGUGGUUCGUUUUAACGAUUUGAGAUGAUUUUUUUACAUAAACAACUGGCUUUGUUCCUGACUGUAUUUCUGCUGAGAAGCCAAGUUGUGGCUGAAGAGCAAGAAACGUCGCUCAGCCUGUGGGGGAAGGUGGCUGACCUGACUGGAUCGAGCCACUGGAUAUUAAAGCCCCAGAUGUUCAUCCCCGCCCUGCAGGAACUCACCGUCUGCCUUAACGUG